UACGAGGGGGGCGAGCGUUGUUCGGAAUUAUUGGGCGUAAAGGGUGCGUAGGCGGUUCCGCAAGUCCUGUGUGAAAUCUUCGGGCUCAACUCGAAGUCUGCACGGGAAACUGCGGGGCUUGAGUGUGGGAGAGGUGAGUGGAAUUCCCGGUGUAGCGGUGAAAUGCGUAGAUAUCAGGAGGAACACCUGUGGUGUAGACAGCUUGCUGGACCAUAACUGACGCUGAGGCACGAAAGCGUGGGUAGCAAACAGG
rnacentral:rRNA from 1 species